GAACGCUGGCGGCGUGCCUAAUACAUGCAAGUCGAGCGAACGGACGAGAAGCUUGCUUCUCUGAUGUUAGCGGCGGACGGGUGAGUAACACGUGCAUAACCUACCUAUAAGACUGGGAUAACUUCGGGAAACCGGAGCUAAUACCGGAUAAUAUUUUGAACCGCAUGGUUCAAAAGUGAAAGACGGUCUUGCUGUCACUUAUAGAUGGAUCCGCGCUGCAUUAGCUAGUUGGUAAGGUAACGGCUUACCAAGGCAACGAUGCAUAGCCGACCUGAGAGGGUGAUCGGCCACACUGGAACUGAGACACGGUCCAGACUCCUACGGGAGGCAGCAGUAGGGAAUCUUCCGCAAUGGGCGAAAGCCUGACGGAGCAACGCCGCGUGAGUGAUGAAGGUCUUCGGAUCGGAAAACUCUGUUAUUAGGGAAGAACAUAUGUGUAAGUAACUGUGCACAUCUUGACGGUACCUAAUCAGAAAGCCACGGCUAACUACGUGCCAGCAGCCGCGGUAAUACGUAGGUGGCAAGCGUUAUCCGGAAUUAUUGGGCGUAAAGCGCGCGUAGGCGGUUUUUUAAGUCUGAUGUGAAAGCCCCACGGCUCAACCCGUGGAGGGUCAUUGGAAACUGGAAAACUUGAGUGCAGAAGAGGAAAGUGGAAUUCCAUGUGUAGCGGUGAAAUGCGCAGAGAUAUGGAGGAACACCAGUGGCGAAGGCGACUUUCUGGUCUGUAACUGACGCUGAUGUGCGAAAGCGUGGGGAUCAAACAGGAUUAGAUACCCUGGUAGUCCACGCCGUAAACGAUGAGUGCUAAGUGUUAGGGGGUUUCCGCCCCUUAGUGCUGCAGCUAACGCAUUAAGCACUCCGCCUGGGGAGUACGACCGCAAGGUUGAAACUCAAAGGAAUUGACGGGGACCCGCACAAGCGGUGGAGCAUGUGGUUUAAUUCGAAGCAACGCGAAGAACCUUACCAAAUCUUGACAUCCUUUGACAACUCUAGAGAUAGAGCUUUCCCCUUCGGGGGACAAAGUGACAGGUGGUGCAUGGUUGUCGUCAGCUCGUGUCGUGAGAUGUUGGGUUAAGUCCCGCAACGAGCGCAACCCUUAAGCUUAGUUGCCAUCAUUAAGUUGGGCACUCUAAGUUGACUGCCGGUGACAAACCGGAGGAAGGUGGGGAUGACGUCAAAUCAUCAUGCCCCUUAUGAUUUGGGCUACACACGUGCUACAAUGGACAAUACAAAGGGCAGCGAAACCGCGAGGUCAAGCAAAUCCCAUAAAGUUGUUCUCAGUUCGGAUUGUAGUCUGCAACUCGACUACAUGAAGCUGGAAUCGCUAGUAAUCGUAGAUCAGCAUGCUACGGUGAAUACGUUCCCGGGUCU
rnacentral:rRNA from 1 species